GGGGCCGGUAGCUCAGGUGGUUAGAGCGCACGCCUGAUAAGCGUGAGGUCGUAGGUUCAACUCCUACUCGGCCCACCAU
rnacentral:tRNA from 1 species